rnacentral:miRNA from 1 species
UGGCAAUGCGUUCAGCUGCCAGCG